rnacentral:lncRNA from 11 species
CAGCAUUGGCCACAGGUGCCGAAAAGAGGUCAAAGUCUCCAGAAAGGAAGGCAAGCUUGCAGAAAAUGGAAGCAACAGAGCUUGACUGGGUUCGUCUUUACAUCUUGCUGCAAAAGGCUGAUGCAUCCCAUCUCGGUUGCAAGACCUGUCUUCCAGUCAUCAGGCUCUCCCUAAAUGCAUUUGGAGAAUGCCUUCCUUCUGAGGAUGAAAUUCCUUUUUCCAAAAAACAACAGGCUGGGAUUGUUGUGUCUGCACUUGGCCGAGAAGGCAAGGGCACAUUCCAGAGCAAAACUGCAACAACAACAACAACAGAGAAAGACAGAUCAAGGAAUAUAAUUGAAGGAAACCAGAAGUGAAAACCCGGAACAGUGUGACAGAAGGGACUUUACCCAAAGGUAGGAACAGAAAACAGAAGUGAAUGAAACACUGCCUCUUAUCUAUAUCUAUAUAUAUCUUUCCUUGGUUCCUUUUCUUCUCUUUCACCCUGAGAUUUAUAAAUUCAGCGAGACUUCAUUCACCUGGGGCUUUUGGUUGUUAGGUAUUCAGUGAACUUACUGCUUGUCGCAUGUCCGGUAAUCCAACACAAAAAUUUUACCUAUUUUUCAGUAUUAAGAGGAAAAAUAUGAGUUGUUAUGUGUAUUUGCAAGCCUUUCUAACACAUGGACUAAAUCGAUGGGCCGCCACAUAAAGACGAUACAGUGCAAUCUAUUUCCCAAAAAGAGCAAGGAUUGGAGAUAGCACCGUUGGGCUUUUGUGUUUUUUUAUAUGAAUUCAAACCGUGAAAUGUCUCAAGUGCAGAUAAUUUCCAAAAAUCUAGUAAAGAGAAGAACCCGGCCUCCCAGAACGGACUUCAUUGCUUGCAUUUGGGUCCAAUGGAUUCAAAGGGAUAGGAUCCAAUAGACUCAUUUUUCGAGGGACUGCUCUGAAACAAUGAAUGUGCAGAAGGAAAGGUUCGAUGCCCCAAAUAAUAGGAUUAUAGGGGCUUUAAGAGCGGUUCCAGAAGGGAUUUCUGGCAGGUGGCGAGUAAUAGCAGCAAAAGCAAGGCAGCACUAUAUUGCUUUGUAUAGCUGUCUUUAAUAGCAGUCUACUUCCAAGGAAUCUCAAGCCUCAACUGACUUCUGACUCCUAACACUGGCUUGUGCACUCUAAGAGACUCAAGCCUCAACUGACUUCUAACUCCUAACACUGGCUUGUGCACUCGAAGAGACUCAAGCCUCAACUGACUUCUUACUCCUAACACUGGCUUCUGCACUCUAAGAGACUCAAGCAUCAACUGACUUCUAACUCCUAAUGCUGGCUUGUGCGCUCUAAGAGACUCAAGCCUCAACUGACUUCCGACUCCCAACACUGGCUUCUGCACUCGAAGAGACUGAAGCCUCAACUGACUUCGAACUCCUAACACUGGCUUGUGCGCUCUAGGAGACUUAAGCCUUAACUGACUUCUAACUCCUAACACUGGCUUGUGCACUCUAAGAGACUCAAGCCUCAACUGACUUCUAACUCCUAACACUGGCUUCUGUAUUCUAAGAGACUCAAGCCUCAACUGACUUCUAACUCCUAACACUGGCUUCUGUAUUCUAAGAGACUCAAGCCUCAACUGUCUUCUGACUCCUAACACUGGCUUGUGCACUCUAAGAGACUCAAGCCUCGACUGACUUCUAACUCCUAACAUUGGCUUGUGCACUCUAAGAGACUCAAGCCUCAACUGACUUCCAACUCCUAUGGAAGGUACCCACACUGCAACGGGGCCAAAAAUAUCCCGAGAUGAA